AGGAACAGCCCGGUGCUGGCAGUUGGCUUCGUGGUCUUUUCUGGAGGGCGAAGGAAGGGAAGGGAUCUCGCUUGAGCCGUGCAGAGGGAGAGCUCGGACAUGUGUUGUCAGCACAUCUGGGGAAUACAGUCUGCAAGUACGAAAGGAAAUUUGCUGGGAUCGUUCAAACUGCGAUAUUGAUCUUUGUUAUUUUUUUUCGCCGAGGGAUGCACUUGGCAUGAGAAUCGGAGGAUGGAAAUUGUUUGGGAGGUGCUUUUUCUUCUGCAAGCGAAUUUCAUCGUCUGCAUUUCACCUCAACAAAAUUCACCAAAAAUCCAUGAAGGCUGGUGGGCUUAUAAGGAGGUGGUCCAGGGAAGCUUUGUUCCAGGAUCGUGUUGAUGGGAUCAUGCCCAAACAGACCAGGUGGCAAAGCUAUGCUGACUCAAAAGGAACACGGGGCAGUGUUUGUGAAGCACUGAGAAACUUCUC